UUAGUAUCAAUUGGUGCGAGAUGGGGUUCACAUCACAUUGCAUUCAAGCUAAAGUCUUGAUCGUUUAACGAAAAUAGACACGAGACUAACGAAUGUGGCCAGCUAUCCAUAUGUUGAAUUUCUAUAGUUUACCAACACAUACAAAGCUAUCCCGAAAAUGUUAAGCUUCAGAUAUUUUAGAUGUUUAUGUGACAUUAUAAUUGUAAAUAUCCCGUGUGAGGUUGCUGAUCCUCCAUCGGGCGCCUCCCCAGGUGGCGGAUCGGGGAAAACUCGCUAGAAAUAGAGGGUACCGGGAAAAUAAAAUACCCGGGGCGGACCAAAAUCAGCAAGGUCACUAAGGUUAGAGUAGCCAAUCUCUUCAAAAUAAUUAGUAAUUGUGGAUCGAUAACCCACAUUUAUUAAAUCUAUAUAAUUAUCAAAGAAAAUGCAUUUGUCCGUCAGAAAUAUUGUCGACGAUUUUGGGCUUUUGAGUACCGGGGAAGUAAAAUACUUUGAGUGGACCCAAAUCAGGGUCGCUGAGGCGAAAGCAGCCGAUCUGUUCAAAAUAAUUAGUAAUUGUGGACUGAUAACCCACAUUUAUUAAAUCUCUAUAAUUAUCAAAGAAUAUACACUUGACCGUUAGACAUAUUGUCUACGAUUGGGGGCUGGAGGCAGAAAACUGAUAUCGACUUUCUGAAAAAUUCUAUUAAACUGUUUGAGUCGGAAGUUAUAACAUAACUCUUGAAGCGACGUCAAAUAGUAGGUCCCGUAUAUUUGACACAUAAAAUAUAUGGACAUGGGUCAUAAUAUUUAAAAUGGAACAAAAAGACUAGGAAGAAAAAUAAAUAAUUUACAAAUUAUCGACAAGCCAUCGCACACAAGUCGAAGUAAAGGUCCUCACUGUGUCUUCCGCAAUCAUCUCACUCAGUCGGCGUGGAAUUAAAAAUUUGUCUAAGAACAGACUUCAUAUCAGAAUUGUGUUAUUGACCGUCAGACAGAUUUUCGAGUAAGUACGUUAAAAUAAUAUUGAAAAACUAAAAUAAUGUUUUGAAAACGCGCGCGCGCGAACAAGAGAGUGCAAAGAGGGUAAAUAUUUAGGUAAAUAUUUAUUUAAAUAUUAAUCAGAUUCAGUUUGUUGACCGUACGAGAACGUUAUCUUUUAAGCUCAACUGAUUCCGAUGUUCAUUUUGUGCUUCUUGUGCGAUUUCAUGUUUACCAUCAUGAAAUUAAACUUUCCACAUAUCCUGGAGCCCGCGUGGGGCAUAGGAUGAGACAUCUUAUUUCAUCGGUCCGAAGUUGCUGAGAAUGACUCAAAAAGAGUCGAAACGUACAUAUUAAUUAUCUCUUUUUAUGAUUUAUUAAAGAUAGUCCUUUUGACUUUAUGCACCAACAAUGUGUACAUGUGAAACUUGAGUAGAACUAUCGGGAACUCUCGCUAAAAAUGAUAUUAGUGAAUGCGUUUUGGUACUUUAGAGGGGAGGGUGUCGUGCUAGAUUCGCGAAGUUAGCACGAUGUUUUUUAAAAGUUGAUUUUUCGAUAUAAGGAAAGCGGAACUCUUUCUAAUUUUUAUCAGGAACUGUAGAACUAUGAAAGGUGCUAUUGAAACUCUUAGUAUUUUUUUGAAAUUCGUAGAAUGUCGUACUAACUUCACAGAUCCCCAACAACCGCGUUCUGACUCUCAAGGUUUCACUACAAUUUUUUUUUAAUUAAAGCUUAAGUUUAACUCAACUAUUUUCUGUCACUAUUAGCUGUGACCAUUUGCAAUACUUGCUGGAACAAUCUAUUGAUGCUAGAUCAAUUAGUGCUAGAAUAAUUACAGUGCAGGAACUCAAAGCUUCAUGCACACCAAUAAUCGAGAUUAUGUGACGUGUGUGUUCACGAACAAAUAUAAAAUGAAAAAGUUUUUAAACGACUAGCUUCUUAAAUAAUUUUUCUUUAUUUUUUUCCAGUAAACUUGUCAAUACCGCGCCGACAAAUAAUUGUUCCUUCUUUUCGGUGAUAGGAAAAUGACUCGCUAUCAUUUCCACACCACCUUGCGGUAGAUAGCUUGGUGCGUUUAUUGUUGCAAGAACCAUACGUGUGAUAGGAAAUAUUAUUAACAAAUUUCGCGUGUCGCGAAAUAUAAUGCCUAUGCCUAUAAUAUGCUUUUGUCUUUGUUUAGGCUUUACUUGAUACCGUUUUCUUCGACUGAUUCCAGCGCUACAAUACAAUAUAAUACAACACAAUACAAUAUAAUAUAAUACAAUACAACACAACACAAUACAUAUACAAUAGAAAAUAAUAGAAUAGAAUCAUUCUACAUCCAUGAAUAUACAGGGUGGGUUAAUAACAAUUGACACCUUAAAUAUCUAAAAUUGUAUGACUUGGAGUUGUAUGGUUCAUUUAAUUGCAGUGUAAUAGCCGCUUGCUAUAAUUGCUAUAAAUGUAUAUAUGUAUAUUUCUGUAUAUUCUAUGUACGUACAUGAUAAAUACAUGAUAUUUUUUUCACAUUACA